CUCUCCUUUACAUAUGCUGUAUUAUACUUUUAGCAUUUCCUUUCCCACUUAUCUGCUCUCUAUUCCGAUCUCCUAGUCUACCAUUCUCACCCUCAUUCUAUCUAGCAUGUCCCCUGCCGAAUGCUGAGGCAUACCGGAAGUGGGACUCCCGUACUUCCGGACGGGAGUCUGUUAAAGACUAAACCACGCUAGCUCUUCAGUUACCUGUUAGCAGCUCCAGACUGCGUUCCACACACCUCUUUCCCGGCUGUAAGCCGUACAACAUAUUUAUCACACCUCCGCAGCAAUCUAACUCUGAGGAAGGUCCAGGGAUUGGACCGAAACAUCAGAUUCUUACUGAUUGCAAAAUAAAAUACAAUUAAUACUCACUUCUGCUUGAGUGCCGAGUCAUUUUAUCUACUAUUGAUGGCCUGGGAACCUACUUGUGCACCAAGAAAAUAGGAGAGUGCCAUUUUUCUCACUAUCUAAGGUGGAUCAUGAAGCUCUGACAUAAAACAGAUCCAGCAUUCAAAAGAAACACAUGGGAAUGCUCUGAGUGACUGCACAGUCUCCAUUCUUCUGUGUCACUGAACUGACUGCCAGCAGGGACUGUGCGAGGUGCUGGAUGAGCUGCUGCUACAUCACUAUGACAACCAGAUACAGCUCUAAAAUUACAUACCUGACACCCACCCUUACUAAAUCCUUCCAUUUAAUUGCGAACAUCUUUACUGGAUGUGUAUAUGCUUCUCAUAUGAGCAGCAGUUCUGUAGCAAUAGUACCAUUUCUUCUACUUGACACCAAAUCCAUGUAAAUAUUGCUGUAUAGAAAAUGUUUUCCAUGUAUAAUAUCCCAUGUCAGACUGUGGAGAUUGCUUUCUAAAUUGCAAUAUUAGUUUCAUUUGGCGGCUAAACAACAUAUUGUCACAUAUUACUAGAUAUGUCAUAGGUUGGUGUCAUUUAUAAA